AACGAACGUUGGCGGCGUGGAUUAGGCAUGCAAGUCGAACGAGAAAGCCACCUUCGGUGGUUAGUAAAGUGGCGAACGGGUGAGUAACGCGUGGGAAAUCUGCCCUACAGUUGGGGAUAACACUCCUAACGGAGUGCUAAUACCGAAUGAGACCACGAGAUCGCAUGGUCUUGAGGUUGAAAGGUGGCCUCUCCUUGGAAGCUACCGCUGCAGGAGGAUCCCGCGUCCCAUUAGCUUGUUGGCAGGGUAACGGCCUACCAAGGCUUCGAUGGGUAGCUGGUCUGAGAGGAUGGUCAGCCACACUGGGACUGAGAUACGGCCCAGACUCCUACGGGAGGCAGCAGUGGGGAAUUUUGGACAAUGGGCGCAAGCCUGAUCCAGCCAUGCCGCGUGAGUGAAGAAGGCCUCGG
rnacentral:rRNA from 1 species